rnacentral:rRNA from 1 species
UACGUAGGGCGCAAGCGUUGUCCGGAAUUAUUGGGCGUAAAGCGUGCGCAGGCGGUGAUGUAAGACAGAUGUGAAAUCCCCGGGCUCAACCUGGGAACUGCAUUUGUGACUGCAUCGCUGGAGUGCGGCAGAGGGGGAUGGAAUUCUCGGUGUAGCGGUGAAAUGCGUAGAUAUCGUAAGGAAGACCAGUGGCGAAGGCGGGUCUCUGGACAGUUCCUGACGCUGAGGCACGAAGGCCAGGGGAGCAAACGGG